rnacentral:rRNA from 2 species
GCGGCGGACGGGUGAGUAAUGCCUAGGAAUCUGCCUGGUAGUGGGGGAUAACGUUCGGAAACGGACGCUAAUACCGCAUACGUCCUACGGGAGAAAGCAGGGGACCUUCGGGCCUUGCGCUAUCAGAUGAGCCUAGGUCGGAUUAGCUAGUUGGUGGGGUAAUGGCUCACCAAGGCGACGAUCCGUAACUGGUCUGAGAGGAUGAUCAGUCACACUGGAACUGAGACACGGUCCAGACUCCUACGGGAGGCAGCAGUGGGGAAUAUUGGACAAUGGGCGAAAGCCUGAUCCAGCCAUGCCGCGUGUGUGAAGAAGGUCUUCGGAUUGUAAAGCACUUUAAGUUGGGAGGAAGGGUUGUAGAUUAAUACUCUGCAAUUUUGACGUUACCGACAGAAUAAGCACCGGCUAACUCUGUGCCAGCAGCCGCGGUAAUAC